UCUUAGCAACCGAUUUGGUCCUAGUCCUCUUCUUGGUUUUAUCUAGACCGAUACAUGCAAGCUAAUUAACAACACAGUGAGUAAAACUAAAAUUAUACUUUAAAGAAAUAAUUUUUAUAAGAGGUAUCAGAAAAUUAAUCAAAAAUUCUAAGACACCUAGCCCCCCACAUCUGCAGUACCUAACAUUAUACAAUAAGCAAAAGCUUGAUAUAGUCAUAGACUAAAGAGUUGGUUAAUUAUGUGCCAGCCGCCGCGGUUAUACAUAAGACUCAAACUAAGAAACCCUAUCGGUUUAAAAGUGAUUAAGGCUAAACUACUUUAAGGUGAAAGACAACUCCAGUACUAACAAGCUUUUACAGUAAACUAACAAUUAAGCAAAACUUACCUUAACACCCCUACCCUGAAACACCAAAGCUCAAAGAUAAACUGGGAUUAGAUACCCCACUAUAUGAGCCUAAAAAACCAAAAAUACCAGAGA
rnacentral:rRNA from 1 species